rnacentral:lncRNA from 1 species
GUGGCUAACAAGCAUCCUCCUUUUAUCUUAUACUCUUUGAUUUCACCUUGAUAAUUUAAAGUAAAUAUAUUGGAAUAUAAAAUGUCAAUGUUGAUAAUUUUUUCCCUAUUUUCUUUGUAUGAUAUAAACCAAACAUCUCUGUGUUUUUCUAAUUUUUGAUUUUUUUUCGGUUGCUCUUUUUUUUUUUAGAUUUGACCUCGAUGAUAAAACAAAUUUGUUAUAAGAUAGGUUAAAUUGAUGAUGACGAUAACAAAAGGGGAGUGCUGUUUCAAAGAGAUUAUUAGUAUAUAUUUCCUCUGAUAGAAUUUUCUUAUACUUUGGGUAACCUUGCUAUUGCCCAAAAUUUGCAUAGUUGUUCAUGAAAAAGCACUUUUUUGUUAAUAUAAAGAAACCUAUGAGAUAAAAUUUUGAAAAAAAUAUGAGAAGAUAAGUUUU